rnacentral:rRNA from 1 species
CAACUUUCAGCAAUGGAUCUCUUGGCUCUCGCAUCGAUGAAGAACGCAGCGAAACGCGAUAUGUAAUGUGAAUUGCAGAUCUACAGUGAAUCAUCGAAUCUUUGAACGCACCUUGCGCUCCUUGGUAUUCCGAGGAGCAUGCCUGUUUGAGUGUCAGUG